GACGAACGCUGGCGGCGUGCUUAACACAUGCAAGUCGAGCGGUAAGGCCCUUUCGGGGGUACACGAGCGGCGAACGGGUGAGUAACACGUGGGUGACCUGCCCUCAGCUCUGGGAUAAGCCUGGGAAACCGGGUCUAAUACUGGAUAUGACUCCAUGACGCAUGUUGUGGGGUGGAAAGCCUUGUGCGGCUGAGGAUGGGCCCGCGGCCUAUCAGCUUGUUGGUGGGGUGAUGGCCUACCAAGGCGGCGACGGGUAGCCGGCCUGAGAGGGCGACCGGCCACACUGGGACUGAGACACGGCCCAGACUCCUACGGGAGGCAGCAGUGGGGAAUCUUGCGCAAUGGGCGAAAGCCUGACGCAGCGACGCCGCGUGAGGGAUGACGGCCU
rnacentral:rRNA from 1 species